rnacentral:rRNA from 1 species
GUCCCAGCUGUAAACGAUGUAUACUUGAUGUUGUUGGAAUCAACCCCGACAGUGUCGAAGCUAACGCGAUAAGUAUACCGCCUGGGGAGUACACUCGCAAGGGUGAAACUCAAAAGAAUUGACGGGGGCCCGCACAAGCAGUGGAGCAUGUGGUUUAAUUCGAUGCAACGCGAAGAACCUUACCCAGACUUGACAUAUAGAGGCUAGUCGUAGAGAUAUGAUGUUCCGCAAGGACUUUUAUACAGGUGCUGCAUGGCUGUCGU